rnacentral:rRNA from 1 species
GAGGAAUAUUGGUCAAUGGGCGAGAGCCUGAACCAGCCAAGUAGCGUGCAGGACGACGGCCCUAUGGGUUGUAAACUGCUUUUAUACAGGAAUAAAGUUAGCCACGUGUGGUUGUUUGUAGGUACUGUAUGAAUAAGGACCGGCUAAUUCCGUGCCAGCAGCCGCGGUAAUACGGAAGGUCCAGGCGUUAUCCGGAUUUAUUGGAUUUAAAGGGAGCGUAGGCCGUCUGUUAAGCGUGUUGUGAAAUGUAGAUGCUCAACAUCUGAAUUGCAGCGCGAACUGGCAGACUUGAGUGUGCGCAACGUAGGCGGAAUUCGUGGUGUAGCGGUGAAAUGCUUAGAUAUCACGAAGAACUCCGAUUGCGAAGGCAGCUUACGGGAGCACAACUGACGCUGAAGCUCGAAAGUGCGGGUAUCGAAC